AGAGUUUGAUCCUGGCUCAGGAUGAACGCUAGCUACAGGCUUAACACAUGCAAGUCGAGGGGCAGCAUGUUGGUUGCUUGCAACCAAUGAUGGCGACCGGCGCACGGGUGAGUAACGCGUAUCCAACCUACCCUUGUCCAUCGGAUAACCCGUCGAAAGGCGGCCUAACACGAUAUGCGGUUCACAGCAGGCAUCUAAGGUGAACGAAAUGUGAAGGAGAAGGAUGGGGAUGCGUCUGAUUAGCUUGUUGGCGGGGUAACGGCCACCAAGGCUACGAUCAGUAGGGGUUCUGAGAGGACGACCAGCCACACUGGGACUGAGACACGGCCCAGACUCCUACGGGAGGCA
rnacentral:rRNA from 1 species